UACAGAGGUCCCAAGCGUUGUUCGGAUUUACUGGGCGUAAAGGGUGCGUAGGUGGUGAGGUAAGUCUGAUGUGAAAUCUCCGAGCUUAACUCGGAAAUGGCAUUGGAAACUACCUUGCUAGAGGGUUGGAGGGGGGACUGGAAUUCUCGGUGUAGCAGUGAAAUGCGUAGAUAUCGAGAGGAACACCAGUGGCGAAGGCGAGUCCCUGGACAACUCCUGACGCUGAGGCACGAAAGCUAGGGGAGCAAACAGG
rnacentral:rRNA from 1 species